AUUGAACGCUGGCGGCAGGCCUAACACAUGCAAGUCGAACGGUAACAGGAAGAAGCUUGCUUCUUUGCUGACGAGUGGCGGACGGGUGAGUAAUGUCUGGGAAACUGCCUGAUGGAGGGGGAUAACUACUGGAAACGGUAGCUAAUACCGCAUAACGUCGCAAGACCAAAGAGGGGGACCUUCGGGCCUCUUGCCAUCGGAUGUGCCCAGAUGGGAUUAGCUAGUAGGUGGGGUAACGGCUCACCUAGGCGACGAUCCCUAGCUGGUCUGAGAGGAUGACCGGCCACACUGGAACUGAGACACGGUCCAGACUCCUACGGGAGGCAGCAGUAGGGAAUAUUGCGCAAUGGGCGCAAGCCUGAUGCAGCAAUGCCGCGUGUGUGAAGAAGGCCUUCGGGUUGUAAAGUUCUUUCAGCGGGGAGGAAGGGAGUAAAGUUAAUACCUUUACUCAUUGACGUUACCCGCAGAAGAAGCACCGGCUAACUCCGUG
rnacentral:rRNA from 1 species